CUCACGCGGCGUCCACCGGGUCGGACAGGCGCAGCGCGAGCGUCCGGGCGGUCGCCCCGGCGACCGUCUCGACGAUCGUCCCGCCGGCGAGGAA
rnacentral:tRNA from 1 species